rnacentral:rRNA from 1 species
UCGACUGUUUACCAAAAACAUAGCUCAAAGAAGACAUUAUAAAUAGUGACGCCUGCUCAAUGAUUGCAUAAUACAAUGAAACCACAAUUAAAUAGCUGCGGUAACACCUAACCGCACAAAGGUAGCACAAUAAAUAGCCUACUAACUUCAGGAUCGCAUGAAGGCAUAACGAAAUCUUGACUGUCUCAAGAUCAUAAACUUAAACUAGAAUGUAUGUGCAAAUCCAUACUAAAACGGCAAGACGAUAAGACCCUAUGAACUUUACUAAAAAUUACAGAACUUACUUACUUUACAUUACAAAAAUAAGAAAAAACACACAUCUUGGAAUUUAAGUUUCGUUGGGGCAACGAUCUCAAAAUAAAUAAAUAAGAUUACAAACAAUCAACUAUACUAAACCAAACAUCUAAGUUAAUACAAUAAAAGAUAAGACCCAUUAAAGAAAACAACCUAAUGAACAUAAGAUAAAAGCUCCUUAGGGAUAACAGCGUAAUAUUGUACACAAAGAUCCUUCUCAAACAAUGUUUGCGACCUCGAUG